UACGUAGGGGGCAAGCGUUGUCCGGAAUUAUUGGGCGUAAAGAGCGUGUAGGCGGUCCGGUAAGUCAGCUGUGAAAGUCAAGGGCUCAACCCUUGAAAGCCGGUUGAUACUGUCGGGCUAGAGUCCGGAAGAGGCGAGUGGAAUUCCCGGUGUAGCGGUGAAAUGCGCAGAUAUCGGGAAGAACACCUAUGGCGAAGGCAGCUCUCUGGGACGGUACUGACGCUGAGACGCGAAAGCGUGGGGAGCGAACAGG
rnacentral:rRNA from 1 species